UGGGGAAUCUUGGACAAUGGGGGCAACCCUGAUCCAGCCAUGCCGCGUGAGUGAUGAAGGCCUUAGGGUCGUAAAGCUCUUUCGCCUGUGAAGAUAAUGACGGUAGCAGGUAAAGAAACCCCGGCUAACUCCGUGCCAGCAGCCGCGGUAAUACGGAGGGGGUUAGCGUUGUUCGGAAUUACUGGGCGUAAAGCGCACGUAGGCGGACCAGAAAGUUGGGGGUGAAAUCCCGGGGGCUCAACCCCGGAACUGCCUCCAAAACUAUUGGUCUAGAGUUCGAGAGAGGUGAGUGGAAUUCCAAGUGUAGAGGUGAAAUUCGUAGAUAUUUGGAGGAACACCAGUGGCGAAGGCGGCUCACUGGCUCGAUACUGACGCUGAGGUGCGAAAAGUGUGGGGAGCAAAACAGGAUUAGAUACCCUGGUAGUCCACACCGUAAAACGAUGAAAUGCCCAGUCGUCGGGUAGCAUGCUAUUCGGUGACACACCUAACGGAUUAAAGCA
rnacentral:rRNA from 1 species